CCCCUAGAUGUUCUGGGCCGCACGCGCGCUACACUGAUGCAUUCAACGAGCCUAUCCUUGACCGACAGGUCCGGGUAAUCUUUGAAUCUGCAUCGUGACGGGGAUAGAUUAUUGCAAUUAUUAAUCUUCAACGAGGAAUGCCUAGUAGGCGCAAGUCAUCAGCUUGCGUCGAUUACGUCCCUGCCCUUUGUACACACCGCCCGUCGCUCCUACCGAUUGGGUGUGCUGGUGAAAUGUUCGGAUCGGCCGUUUGUCGCGGUUUCCGCGGCUCGUGGCUGAGAAGUUCAUUAAACCCUCCCACCUAGAGGAAGGAGAAGUCGUAACA
rnacentral:rRNA from 1 species